GAAGAAAGCCAUGGGAGAGGAGGGAAGCUGACCAUUGAUCACAGGCUGGAUAUUCUGGGAAAGAGAAACAGACAAUGUGGAUAAUGCAUAGUUCCUAUCGAGUCGCACGAAGGCAAAGGGUAGAAGUGGUCCCUUCACUUUUUCCGUUUUAAUGUGGACUCCCUGCACUGGUGAAAAUGAAGAGAAUAAUGCAGAUAACAAUCCAGGAGAAGAAACUCUUGAGAGGAGGAAAACUUGUUGAGCUUCCUCUUAAAUUGAUGUACAAUAUUUACUUCUGUUGCUGACUCCAGCACUUUGUUCCAUCUCAUUAAUUCAAGGAGUAAGAAACAUCAAGGAACAUCAGGAACAUCAUUAAUCCAAAGACCAUUUCUGGCCAUGCCUAAGUGAAGCUAUUAAAGAUAUUUCAAGAUCUGACUAAAACAGUUAUUAAAAAGCCUAACCACUAUGUCUCAAUUUAUUUUCCUAGAUAAUUGUAACAUCUUUGUUUUGGGUCAUGGGUUGAUACAUGUCUUUGGGUCUCAUUUGCUACAUUAUUUUCAGGCCAGAGUGAAAAGAAAU